rnacentral:rRNA from 1 species
CAUAGUAAGAACUUUCUAGAGAUAGAUUGGUGUCUGCUUGCAGAAACUUAUAUACAGGUGCUGCACGGCUGUCGUCAGCUCGUGUCGUGAGAUGUUGGGUUAAGUCCCGCAACGAGCGCAACCCUCGUCAUUAGUUGCUAACAGUUCGGCUGAGAACUCUAAUGAGACUGCCUACGCAAGUAGGAGGAAGGUGAGGACGACGUCAAGUCAUCAUGGCCCUUACGUCCAGGGCUACACACGUGCUACAAUGGGGCAUACAAAGAGCAGCAAUACCGCGAGGUGGAGCAAAUCUCAAAAAUGUCUCCCAGUUCGGAUUGUAGUCUGCAACUCGACUACAUGAAGUUGGAAUCGCUAGUAAUCGUAGAUCAGCUAUGCUACGGUGAAUACGUUCCCGGGUCUUGUACUCACCGCCCGUCACACCAUGGGAGUUGAACUCAUUCGAAGCGGGGAUGNUAAAGUAGCUACCUUCCACAGUGGAUUCAGCGACUGGGGUGAAGUCGUAACAAGGUAGCCAAGGGCGAAUUCCCAGCACA